UCUUCAUUUUCCACACUCUCUGAGCGGUCAGAGUGGCGAGAGAGUGUGUGAAAUGAAGAGA
rfam:Pristionchus pacificus strain PS312 contig8662, whole genome shotgun sequence.